GGCCCAAAGUGAAUUCAGCUCAGCAGCCUCUAGCUAGACUCCUAACAGAAUCAAAACUAGCUCUGCUCUUCAACUGCAUAGAGAGAAGGUACAAUUGGCA